GAUGAACGCUAGCGACAGGCCUAACACAUGCAAGUCGAGGGGCAGCAUAAAGGUAGCAAUACUUUGGUGGCGACCGGCGCACGGGUGAGUAACACGUAUGCAACCUACCUGUAAGAGGGGAAUAACCCGGAGAAAUUCGGACUAAUACCGCAUAAUACUGAUUAUCUGCAUGGAUUGAUCAGUUAAACAUUUAUGGCUUACAGAUGGGCAUGCGUAUGAUUAGAUAGUUGGUAGGGUAACGGCCUACCAAGUCUACGAUCAUUAGGGGUUCUGAGAGGAAGGUCCCCCACACUGGUACUGAGACACGGACCAGACUCCUACGGGAGGCAGCAGUGAGGAAUAUUGGUCAAUGGGCGAGAGCCUGAACCAGCCAAGUCGCGUGAAGGAAGAAGGUUCUAUGGAUUGUAAACUUCUUUUGCAGGGGAAUAAAGGACGGUACGUGUACUGUUUUGUAUGUACCUUGCGAAUAAGGAUCGGCUAACUCCGUG
rnacentral:rRNA from 1 species